AAUCAACGCUGGCGGCGUGCCUAACACAUGCAAGUCGAACGCGAAAGGGACUUCGGUCCUGAGUAGAGUGGCGAACGGGUGAGUAACGCGUGGGUGACCUACCCUCGAGUGGGGGAUAACGUUCCGAAAGGGACGCUAAUACCGCAUGACAUUCCGGGUUUGAAGACCUGGAAAUCAAAGCCGGGGACCGCAAGGCCUGGCGCUAGAGGAGGGGCCCGCGUCUGAUUAGCUAGUUGGCGGGGUAAUGGCCCACCAAGGCGACGAUCAGUAGCCGGCCUGAGAGGGCGGACGGCCACACUGGGACUGAGACACGGCCCAGACUCCUACGGGAGGCAGCAGUGGGGAAUUGUUCGCAAUGGGCGAAAGCCUGACGACGCAACGCCGCGUGGAGGAUGAAGGUCUUCGGAUUGUAAACUCCUGUUGAUCGGGACGAAAAGCUUCAACCCAAUACGUUGAAGACUGACGGUACCGGUUGAGGAAGCCACGGCUAAC
rnacentral:rRNA from 1 species